rnacentral:rRNA from 1 species
GACGAACGCUGGCGGCGCGCUUAACACAUGCAAGUCGAACGGAAAGGCCUGCUUUCCCUUGUGGAUUGCGGGUACUCGAGUGGCGAACGGGUGAGUAACACGUGAGUGAUCUGCCCCCAACUUGGGUAUAAGCCUGGGAAACUGGGUCUAAUUCCCGAUAGGACUGCAGGGUGGUGCCUGUGGUGGAAAACGAUUUUCUAGUGGUUGGGGAUGAGCUCGCGGCCUAUCAGCUUGUUGGUGGGGUAAUGGCCUACCAAGGCGGCGACGGGUAGCCGGCCUGGGAGGGUGGACGGCCACAUUGGGACUGAGAUACGGGCCAGACUCCUACGGGAGGCAGCAGUGGGGAAUAUUGCACAAUGGGCGGAAGCCUGAUGCAGCGACGCCGCGUGGGGGAUGACGGCCCUCGGGUUGUAAACUCCUUUCGACCGCGAGGAAGCCACCUGGUUGGAAGGGUGGUGACGGUAGUGGUAGAAGAAGCACCGGCUAACUACGUG